UACGGGGGGGGCAAGCGUUGUUCGGAAUUACUGGGCGUAAAGGCUCGUAGGUGGCCAAUUAAGUCAGGCGUGAAAUCCCCAGGCUCAACUUGGGAACUGCGUCUGAUACUGGUUGGCUUGAAUUCGGGAGAGGGAUGCAGAAUUCCAGGUGUAGCGGUGAAAUGCGUAGAUAUCAGGAGGAACACCGGUGGCGAAGGCGGUGGUCUGGGCCGGAACUGACGCUGAGGAGCGAAAGCGUGGGGAGCGAACAGG
rnacentral:rRNA from 1 species